rnacentral:rRNA from 1 species
GGGGAAUAUUGGACAAUGGGCGCAAGCCUGAUCCAGCCAUGCCGGGUGGGUAAAGAAGGCCUUCGGGUUGUAAAGCCCUUUUGUUGGGAAAGAAAAGCAGCCGGCCAAUACCCGGUUGUUCUGACGGUACCCAAAGAAUAAGCACCGGCUAACUUCGUGCCAGCAGCCGCGGUAAUACGAAGGGUGCAAGCGUUACUCGGAAUUACUGUGGCGUAAAGCGUGCGUAGGUGGUCGUUUAAGUCCGUUGUGAAAGCCCUGGGCUCAACCUGGGAACUGCAGUGGCUACUGGAUCACGUGAGCGUGGCAGAGGGUAGUGGAAUUCCCGGUGUAGCAGUGAAAUGCGUAGAGAUCGGGAGGAACAUCACUGGCGAAGACGACUGCCUGGGCCAACACUGACACUGAGGCACGAAAGCGUGAGGAGCAAACA